UACGUAGGGGGCUAGCGUUGUCCGGAAUCAUUGGGCGUAAAGCGCGUGUAGGCGGCCCGGUAAGUCCGCUGUGAAAGUCGGGGGCUCAACCCUCGGAAGCCGGUGGAUACUGUCGGGCUGGAGUACGGAAGAGGCGAGUGGAAUUCCUGGUGUAGCGGUGAAAUGCGCAGAGUAUCAGGAGGAACACCUAUUGCGAAGGCAGCUCGCUGGGACGUUACUGACGCUGAGACGCGAAAGCGUGGGGAGCAAACAGGG
rnacentral:rRNA from 1 species